rnacentral:rRNA from 1 species
GAGCGGCGGACGGGUGAGUAACACGUGGGUAACCUGCCCAAGAGACUGGGAUAACACCUGGAAACAGAUGCUAAUACCGGAUAACAACACUAGACGCAUGUCUAGAGUUUAAAAGAUGGUUCUGCUAUCACUCUUGGAUGGACCUGCGGUGCAUUAGCUAGUUGGUAAGGUAACGGCUUACCAAGGCAAUGAUGCAUAGCCGAGUUGAGAGACUGAUCGGCCACAUUGGGACUGAGACACGGCCCAA